rnacentral:rRNA from 1 species
GGGUGCCUACGGGGCGCAGCAGUGGGGGAUAUUGCACAAUGGGGGAAACCCUGAUGCAGCGACGCCGCGUGUGGGAAGACGGUCCUCUGGAUUGUAAACCACUGUCCCCAGGGACGAAGAUGACGGUACCUGGGGAGGAAGCUCCGGCUAACUACGUGCCAGCAGCCGCGGUAAUACGUAGGGAGCAAGCGUUGUCCGGAAUUACUGGGUGUAAAGGGCGUGUAGGCGGGAGUGCAAGUCAGAUGUGAAAACUAUGGGCUCAACCCAUAGCCUGCAUUUGAAACUGUACUUCU